rnacentral:misc_RNA from 1 species
CAUCAAACUUGCCUUUCUUUUUUUGUGUAGUCAAGAAAAGAGAUGGCAGACUGUGAGGUGUCUCGCUGACUCCCUCCUCGGAGGAGAAGACGCGAGUCCCUUUAAAUGUACGUUCGCUCUUUCUUGUGUUUAAGAUGAAGUGUGACUUUCGAACGCAGUGAUCUGUUUGGAUCGCUUUGCUCGAGUGGGCGACUUCGGUUAGGACAUUAAAGGAAGCAACCUCUAUUGGCGGUAUGUUAGGCUUCGGCCCGACUUUGCAGCUGACAGUGUGUGGUUUUCUGUUCUUUCCUUGAGGUGUACCUGUCUUGUGUGAGGCAAUGGUCUGGGCAAAUGAUUAUUGUGUAGUAGGAAGUUGCUGCUCUUAAGCGCUCUGUCUCGGCAGAGUAAAGAAGGCAACACCAAUUUGGGAUAGUUUACUUUACUGUAAGCGCUCUUUCUAA